rnacentral:rRNA from 1 species
GCGGUGGGGGGCGCUGCUGUUAGGCAGUCUUUAUUAGCCAAGAAUGUAACACAGGGCAAGUGCUUUUCAUAUGAAUAGCAAUAGGACUCAAUAAGUCAAAAAAUUGUGCAGAAUAGAAAAUUCGUAAGUGGAGCACCCGGUAGGGCUGGGAAUAGUGUCUCAGAUUGUCUCUCAGGGCAUUUUCGGUAAGAAACCAUCCGGAUCAUGGGUAAGGUGGGCAUUUAGAAAUCCCACAACUUAAUUCGCCGCAGGCAAGAAGUAAGCACGAAUAGAGAGAUGAAUCAUUCCAGGGUACAUUUGGAGUCGAGUAUUAACGUCAGUUCCCGAGAGUAUUAACAACAGCGAAGGCAUCUAGCGAGGACAGUUUGAACAGUAAGGGACGAAAGCUAGGGGCGCAAAAGGGAUUAGAUACCCGGGUAGUCCUAGCAGUAAACGAUACUCACUAGGCGUCGGUCCCUCCGCGAGAGUUGUUGGUGCUGAAGGGAAGCCGAGGAGCGAGCCACCUGGGAAGUAUGGUCGCAAGGCUGAAACUUAAAGGAAUUGGCGGGGGAGCACCACAACGGGUGGAGCGUGCGGUUCAAUUGGAUUCA